GAGAAAGAGGGAGGGAGAAGGUUAACUUACUCUUUCGCGCUUUUGUUGGAAAAUGAUACGAGUUGCCCGAUGAUGAACAGAUACGAGCAACAAACGCGCUUCUCGCACGUAGUGUCUACGUCGUACCGACCUUGCCCAUCGCGUAUAUGCCUGCUUGCAUGCACGUACAUACAAAGUUAAGCGUCUACAUGCGUACACCGGAUAGUACACAGCGUACAAUCGCGUAUACCAGCGCGUACACCACCAAAGGAUAGUCGAGGAAGCCCCGAGGGCCUGUCGGAGGAAAAACGGAGAAUCCACGAAGGUACACUGCGACGUAGGAGCCAUCAUAGAGGAUGAUGCGAAGUCAACAAUGGCGUCCGGCUGUCGGUGAUGAGAGGAGAGAAGAGAGAUGGUCCAUUAGCUCGGCUGUCACUCAACGACCCGACUGGCUAGUACGCAUUAUGUACACACCCACCCACGGAUACGUGUCUACAGUACGCGUGACAUAAAAAUUCUAAUAGAAUUGUUUUGUGCUAGCUGGCUAGUAUAUACAAAGCAUGUGACAACAAUUAAAUUAAAUUAACAACGUA